rnacentral:pre_miRNA from 4 species
UCUUAUGAAUAACCAAAUAAAGUGGUUUCCUGAGAUGGAAUCUACUCAUGGUGAAGAUGUUGUGAA